UAGACUUCACCCAAUCAUUUUUUGUAAUGGAAUCUGAUUGUUAAGGUGCUUUGGACGUUAUUGCCAUUAGCCUGGCUCGUCUUAAAUGUCUUAGUGGAACGGCGUGAUAAGUUUCUUCGCCUAUCCUCCACUCUAAUAUAACACUUUUAU
rnacentral:misc_RNA from 1 species